GGGGAUUUAGCUCAGCGACAUAAGCGCCUGCCUUGCAAGCAGGUGGUCGUGAGUUCAAUCCCUG
rnacentral:tRNA from 1 species